UAUAAUUAUGGCUUCCAAAAUGUCAAAUAAAAAUAAACUAAUCAUGUGUUUUGGAACUUGGAGAUGACAAACUCGAGCGCCGUUUUAGUGGCACUCGCAUUAAUUGUUAGCGAAUUAAAUUUAUUACACAAUGUAAACCUUUUAUUAGAGGACUUCUUUCCGUCAAACAUAGUUUUUCUUCUCAGUAUCUGUAUCCUCCUGGAAGAGCUGCGAGUAAUCUCAGUGCUACGUUUGUACUCACCUAUAAGCUUUAUAUUUGAGAUUCUUCUCUCGCUGUUUCUUUUAGAAUGUUCACUGCUAUACAUCUGGCGGCCUCUACAAUUAUAUCUACUCAUCAACGCUGAUGAUAUCCUAGUACAAUUAUAUGAGAACGAGACAUUUAACUGGCUAGUUUGUCCCCUGUGUUGUGGCACCCAUAACCCUGCGCCGGACUUUGCACGCCUGGUACUAAAGAUUUGUAGUUUUAGCUUUUUACUGUCUGUUAUUUUUGCGACUAAAUUAAAUAAGUAGUUUUAAGUAUAAAAUUUA